CUUCCGCGCCCGGCCCGAAGCCCACCUCCACUGAGGACCUUGACCUCGCGCGGACCUCGUCGCCUCGUUUAGCUCUCUCUGACCUGCUUUUGAACCCGCUAAUCCUGUCUCGAACUCUCGUCCCGCCUCGUCCUGCGGCGAUCCCUCGCUCGUCCUGCGGCGAUCCCUUGCCUCGGCCCAGGCGCGCUAAUUCCCGCUGACCCCGCUUGCCCCGCCGCCGCUCUCCGCUCCCCCGGCUCUGAAGGGCACGGCUUCGGGCCUGCGAGUGCCCGGCGAUCCCGUACGCAGGCUCGGACCGCCCCACGUGCGGGCGGACGGAAACUAACAGCCUCGUGUCGCAAACAUUCUUUCUUGUUCUUGCUUUCUCUUGUUUCUCUUCAGUUUACUUGUUUCUUUAAGGAAACUAUCAGACUCACAAAGACCAAAAUCUUAGGUAACAUACUAAGCUGGUGACGCUGUGGGGAAGCCGGCAGUGAGGGCUCAAUGAGUGCGCAGAACGGGUAAGCCAAGGACCGGCUGUUAGGAGCAAGCGCAAAGGUGCCCGCGAAGUCGAAAAAAGUAGGACGGAGAACAGAGAACA
rfam:Pteropus alecto contig31015, whole genome shotgun sequence.